UACGUAGGGGCCGAGCGUUGUCCGGAGUUACUGGGCGUAAAGCGCGCGCAGGCGGCUCGUCAAGCCUGACGUGAAAGCCCCCGGCUCAACUGGGGAGGGUCACGCGAUACUGAUCGACUCGAAGGCAGGAGAGGGAAGUGGAAUUCCCGGUGUAGUGGUGAAGUGCGUAGAUAUCGGGAGGAACACCAGUGGCGAAGGCGACUUCCUGGCCUGUUCUUGACGCUGAGGCGCGAAAGCUAGGGGAGCAAACGGG
rnacentral:rRNA from 1 species